rnacentral:rRNA from 1 species
CCCUUAGAUGUUCUGGGCCGCACGCGCGCUACACUGACGAAGUCAGCGAGCAUGUCCUACGCCGACAGGUGCGGGGAAUCUUGUCAAACUUCGUCGUGAUGGGGAUUGAUUAUUGAAAUUCUUGAUCAUCAACGAGGAAUUCCUAGUAAGCGCAAGUCAGCAGCUUGCGUUGAUUACGUCCCUGCCCUUUGUACACACCGCCCGUCGCUACUACCGAUUGAAUGGUUUAGUGAGAUGUUCGGAUUGGCGCCACUGCGGCUCAGCAAUGGGCUCGGUGGAUGCCGAAAAGUUGAUCAAACUUGAUCAUUUAGAGGAAGUAAAAGUCGUAACA